rnacentral:lncRNA from 1 species
AUUUCCUUCUCUAUAUUUUUUGCCCUGGGCUUUGAGAUACUGCUUCAACUUGAGCUUUUGGGGAACUAAUUAGUGUUUCAACAAUAUUUGCCUGCCCAAUUAGCUGGAGGCUCCUUGAUGGCAGAGACUGCCUCCUUGGUAUCCCCAGCACACAGCACAGAACCUGGCACAUACUGUUGCCUCCACGUACCUGAAAUGCCAGUGCUCCAGCUGUCUUGAUUGAGAGGCCUAGUUUGCAAGAAAACAAGACAAAAUACUUUGCUGCCUUAAUUCCAGUGGGAAUUUAAUUUAAUUAGCAUCUGAUUUACACAAUGCACUUCUGACAGCUGUGUUUGUGGAGUCUCUGUGGAAGCAAGAAAUUACCAUCCAUUGAAAUCAUCAUCAAAGCUUAUUUAUCAUCCUGCCAUGUCUUUCCAGCCUUCAGCCUUGGGAACUUCUGUGUGUUUAUUGCACAUUCAUGAAGGUUACAGUAAAUAAUACUCAACAACCCCGAGAGCACAUCACAGUAUGGAGAAAACAUAAGAUCAAAGAAGCAUGCAACACUGAGCUAUCACACGGAGAACACCUGUCUGGGAAGCCACCUAAACUGACAGUGGACUUCUCAAGAGAAAGAAAUAAACUUUCUUGUUUUAGGACACUGAGAUUUUGGAGGUGUCUGUGCAGCAUAAUCUAUCCUAUCCUACUAUAUUCAACUCACAACUCCUUAUGCUCCAGGCCUACUUCUGUCUUUGAUUUCAUAUUAAAUUAAUUCCAACUUCCUCUUCUCUUAGAGCUAUAAUUUCAGUUAUAUAUGGCUGCAUAACAAACCACUCCAAAGCUUAAAACAACAAUAAAUUAUUAUUUCUCAUAAUUCUGUAUAACAAUAACAAGCAAAGUCAAGUCACCCAUAUUUUACAAAGUAGACUGGAGCUCAGAAAUCUAGACAUCUCAAAUCACACAACUAGUAAAUGGGAGAAGUGAAACUGGAACUCAUGUCUUACUACUGCAGGCCCUGUGUUUUUCAUUUUUUUUUUUUUUGGUUUGUUUUUUGCUAUUAAUGUAUCACAGUUACUUUGGCCAG